ACGUACACUCCUACGGGAGGCAGCAGUGGGGAAUAUUGGACAAUGGGCGCAAGCCUGAUCCAGCCAUGCCGCGUGAGUGAUGAAGGCCCUAGGGUUGUAAAGCUCUUUCACCGGUGAAGAUAAUGACGGUAACCGGAGAAGAAGCCCCGGCUAACUUCGUGCCAGCAGCCGCGGUAAUACGAAGGGGGCUAGCGUUGUUCGGAUUUACUGGGCGUAAAGCGCACGUAGGCGGACUAUUAAGUCAGGGGUGAAAUCCCGGGGCUCAACCCCGGAACUGCCUUUGAUACUGGUAGUCUUGAGUUCGAGAGAGGUGAGUGGAAUGCCGAGUGUAGAGGUGAAAUUCGUAGAUAUUCGGAGGAACACCAGUGGCGAAGGCGGCUCACUGGCUCGAUACUGACGCUGAGGUGCGAAAGCGUGGGGAGCAAACAGGAUUAGAUACCCGUGUAGUCCC
rnacentral:rRNA from 1 species